AUGGAUUUCAUAAUAAAUAUUUAGGUAUAAAAAAACAAACAAUUCAAAACUAACAUAUUUCAAAUGAUUUCAAAUUAAAGGAGUAUCUCUGAUUACAUAUAACAACCUUGUGGUAGAUGUCGCUGCUAGUGGACGUUUUCACCGUCGGCAUCACCAGCCUAGUAGUUAGAGACAUGAUAUUUCAUUAAAGCGAAAAUUUGCUGAUUAAAAUAAUACACAAAAUUCCUUCAAAACCCCUAUUUUAAAAAGAAUACAACUAGAUUGCUAAUGUAAGAUGUCACAGAAGCAAGGACUCGAUAUCCAGCUGAAAAAAAGAAUUAAAAUUUG
rnacentral:lncRNA from 1 species